GACGAACGCUGGCGGCGUGCCUAACACAUGCAAGUCGAACGCAGUGGGGACGGGUGAGUAACACGUGGGUAACCUCCCAUCAGAGGGGAUAACACUUGGAAACAGGUGCUAAACCGAUACUGAUGGAUGGACCCGCGGUGCAUUAGCUAGUUGGUGAGGUACCGGCUUACCAAGGCCACGAUGCAUAGCCGACAUGAGAGGGUGAUCGGCCAGACGGGGACUGAGACACGGCCCAGACUCCUGCGGGAGGAAGCAGUAGAGAAUCUUCGGCAAGGGACGAAAGUCGGACCGAGCAACGCCGCGGAAGUGAAGAAGGUGUUCGGAUCGUAGAACUAUGUUGUUAGAGAAGCGGUAUCUAACCAGAAAGCCACGGCUAACUACGUGCCAGCAGCCGCGGUAAUAC
rnacentral:rRNA from 1 species